rnacentral:tRNA from 1 species
GUUUUAAUAGCUUACAUACAAGAGCACAGCACUGAAGAUGCUGGGGAGAUAUACUAUAUCUUAAAAUA